UACAGAGGGUGCAAGCGUUAAUCGGAAUUACUGGGCGUAAAGCGUGCGUAGACGGUUAUGUAAGUCGGGUGUGAAAGCCCCGGGCUCAACCUGGGAAUUGCAUUCGAGACUGCAUAGCUAGGAUGCGGAAGAGGGAAGUGGAAUUUCCGGUGUAGCGGUGAAAUGCGUAGAUAUGCGGAGGAACACCGAUGGCGAAGGCAGCCUCCUGGGAUAACACUGACGCUCAUGCACGAAAGCGUGGGGAGCAAACAGG
rnacentral:rRNA from 1 species